AUUCUUUUCUGGUUCAUAAACAUGAUUGGGUGUUCACACAUUUGUGUGAUAUGUGCCUCCAUUAAAUCUUGUUAUGAACUUGUCACAUUACCCAUCUAAUG